UUCAUUUCUCUCUCUUCUCUCCCCUCUCCUCUCUCCCGGUUCAAAACUCCUCAAACCAUUCGCCCCUUUCCUCUCCCUCUCCCUCAUUCUCUGCAAUUUCAAAGAAGGUGUCUUCAUAAACCCCCUCAAUUUUGUUCUCUUUCUCUAUCCUCUUUCAACAGUUUUGAUGGUAGCUUUACUGCCUCGAGCAUGGUAUUCAGUGUAGAUCAAUGAUGUUAUGCCAAUGGUAGCACCAAUGAAGGUUUUGAAACCCGAGUUGUUGAGUGCUUGACGACUAGUCAAUCUGAAUCAGUUGUGAGUUCGAAAUUGAAAGAGUCCCAGGAGUUGAAAGGAUUUGGAUUAGAGAGAUGCACGUCAUUAAAAGGGGGAGAUGACUCUAGUUUGGAUGGUGGUAUUGACUCACUGAAGAAUUGCUCAUGCUCAUUUUGCAGCAAAGUAAUGGCGAAGAGUCAAAAGGAAGCUAACAAUUUGGUCCAAAAAUACUCUGUGGAAAAUGAAAUUGGCAGCCAUACCCAAGAGAGAUUCAAUAAUGUCGCCCAAUUAGAAACUGAUCUCACAAGUCAUUGGAGAUCCCUAUUUCUUCACAUGGAGGAUACGUUCGGUAGUGAAGGCAGCCAACUAAUCCACAUACUGGGGAUUGGCCAGAGUAAUGAUGCCACAUCAUACUCGGAACUUGAACAAAACAAUUUUCUUGCAUCGAAGGAUUUAAGAGAUGACUAUAAGAUGAAUUUAGAGAAGAUCAAUGAAAUGCCUUCGGAUGUGCAGCAAUGUUCUUCAAAUGGUUCCGAUCAUACGAUAGUCUAGGAAGUUUGGUCUUUGCAGGUGUGUAAUGGAUGGUAGAUUAAUUAGUUGGAAGACAGGAAAGCAUAUGUCGUCAAUUUGUUUAGUUUAGAUUUGCUUACAGUACUUUGAUUUAUUUCACUUUGUAAGAUAGUAUUUUGUAUAAUGUAAUAGUAUACAAACUCAUAUCUCUUGUACUCCUUAUUUGAAUAAUAAUAACGAGACGUGUUUAGUA